rnacentral:tRNA from 1 species
GGAUUGUGGCUCAGUGGUAGAGCGCUCCCCUAGUACAGGCAGCACCCGGGUUUGAUCCUCAGCACCA